GCUGUAACCCCCAUAGUCCUCAUUUUCAAAUAAUCAUGAUCUUACGUAUAAAGCAGGCCUUGUAAGGUCUCAGGGGAAAGGUUAUGAUCUGCUGGAAGUCAUUUCUCUGUCCAUAGAUGUGUGUCAUUCAUGCAUAUUGAAUUGUGUUGUAUGGUGGUCACUAAAACAUGCUGUAAGUUAAGGAAUCAGGCAGAUAUUAGCUCCCCAGGGGCAACAGCAAGAAAAGUCACCAACACCCAGGCGGGGUGUCAAUCAACCCACCAAGAGCCAUUGUCCAGCAAGGUAGCGACAAUGCAGUGACUCACCUGCGUAAGGCCACACCAGGGGAAUUGC